GGACCAUAGCUCAGUAGGUUGAGCAUCUGUUUUGCAUGCAGAAGGUCCCAGGUUCAAUCCCCAAUGGUAUCU